rnacentral:lncRNA from 1 species
ACCACUUCUCUUUCAAAGAUGGACUGGGGAAAGACAUUAAGUUCGGAGCAGCCCAAGGCUGCGGAUCUAGCCUUUCUCCCUCCGGUCUCCAGACCCACGCAGGUUAAGGCAGCCAAGCAGAGACAGCGGAGCCCCGGUGCGUGGUUCAGGCCUGGUCAACAGGUAGGAGGGCCAGACUGGGGGCCAGGCACAGAGGAGGGCAGGCCCGCCCGCACCGGCGUCCAGGGUCCCGGGUUCCGGGUCCCGGGACUGGAGGAGGUCGCCGGCAGCCCGCCCUUCCAGAGGCUUGAGAUUGGGUGGACGAGACCUGAAGAUCCUCUCGGUCUGGACCCCGACUUUCGAUCUGCUUAGAGACCUAAGCCGCGAGCCUUUGCCCACACGGAGAAACGUACUAUCUAAUAUCUAACAACCCUGUACUGCAGUGUCUGGAGGUUGCGGGAAGGAGACAGUGUCUCCCUUUGGGAAAACUACUGAGGACUUCUGUAUAUCCUACUUCUUCUGGACUCCAUAAGUUACAGGACCGAAGGAAACUGAGAAAUAGAGAAAAGGUGCCGCUUGCCCCUUUAACUCCAGAAAAGGGUGGCUGCAGAUGGAGCAGCUUGGACUUUAUUUUUUACGUUGCGCGAAGCCCGCCGGCAGCGGCUUAUGCCAAUUGAUUUUCCCAGCUCCCAGCCCUGGAUGUCUAGCUAUCUCCAGGACAGUUUGUUUUUUUCUUUUUCUGUCUUUCUUUCUUUCCUUCAAUGUAUCAGAAGACCUGAAGCUCGCUGCCCGCGAGUUUCCUCCGAGUUCCCAGGUCAGCGGCGUUUGCGCUCCUCUCCCCCUCCUUUUCCCAGCCCGUUGCGCUUAAGUUCUUGAGUCUGGGGAGCCGGUUCAGUAACUCUGAAUUCAUUUUUAAGUGGCGUGCCCUGUUCCCCACCUUUUAACAAGAGGUGCACUUUAACACGCGAACCAGUAACACGAUCUACACGUUUACAAAUCGGCAAUGAAUUAAAACAACAACAGAAAAGCUUCAUGGAAAAAGAAAGACAGAGUCUUGCUCUAUUGCCCAGGCUGCAACUGGUGUGAUCUCGGCUCACUACAACCUCUGCCUCCUGGGUUCAAGCGAUUCUCCUGCCUCAAGCUCCCAAGUAGCUGGGAUUACAAGCAUGCACCACCAUGCCUGGCUAAUUUUUGUAUUUUUAGUGGAGACGGGGUUUCGCCACAUUGGCCAGGGUGGUCUUGAACUCCUGACCUCAAGUGAUCCACCUGCCUUGGCCUCCCAAAGUGCUGGGAUUAUAAGCAUGAGCCACUGCACCCAGCCUUAUACUGAACUUUCAAUGGGUUCAAUUCCACUAGGAGCAUAAAGGCCACUGCAUAUGAGUUGUGGAAAGAAGAGAUUAGAAGAAGGAAGAACUUGAGAUGAGUUCCUCCCUUCAACAUUCUGUCUCCUCCUACCUAGCAUCUUCUUUCUUUUAGUCUUUCUAGAAUGUCCAUCUGUUUUUGGCCAUUGCGGAGAGAGAAGCUGAGCUUUAAAGGAGUAGGAGCUUCAAAGGCUUGCUGAGACAAAGGAAAACCCACUCCCUUGGAGGAGCAUGACCUUUUCCUGUAAUUCUUCCCACUGCUGUUGUUGAGCUCCUUGGAUCCUGGCUCCUGGACACCAUCAUCAAGAAGACUUUAUGGAUGGGCUGUCCACCCACUGAGAGAAGAGGAGCAUCAGCUACAGUUUCUCUCUAGAUUGCCUUCUUCAUUUUGAGUAAUGACUGUCAGCAGGGUCAGAUUAAACACAAAACAACUGGACAAUUGCUUGGAGGACUAAACUAUAAGGGCACUAACAUGUCAAUAGUAGGCUAACACAUCCAUGGAAAAUAUAUUUACCAGCUCUUCUCUCAGGGAGGAUUCUGUGUGGGGUUGGAAGUAAUGAUUUGUUAAAUUCCUUAGGGGUAGAAAGUAGGGCAUAAUCAGAAUAUAGAGGAAUAUGCUGUUUGACUUCAGGGUUUCUGUUUUUCUUACUAGGAUAUAUAAAACAGGGACUCUAGCUAGAUUGUUUAUGACCACAGAGGGUAGGCUGAGUGCUCCCAUGAUCUUCCUGCUUGGUUCUUGCCCAUACAGAGGUCAGCCUUUCCUCUAAUAAAGAUUGAACAAGUAGUGGUCUGAGGG